rnacentral:rRNA from 1 species
UUUCUCUGUUCAUCUAGAGGAAAGUAAAAGUCGUAACCAGGUCUCCGUUGGUGAACCAGCGGAGGGAUCAUUACCGAGUUUACAACUCCCAAACCCCUGUGAACAUACCAUAUGUUGCCUCGGCGGAUCAGCCCGUCCUUCGGGACGGCCCGCCGCAGGACCCUAAACUCUGUUUUUAGUGGAACUUCUGAGUAAAAAAACAAAUAAAUCAAAACUUUCAACAACGGAUCUCUUGGUUCUGGCAUCGAUGAAGAACGCAGCAAAAUGCGAUAAGUAAUGUGAAUUGCAGAAUUCAGUGAAUCAUCGAAUCUUUGAACGCACAUUGCGCCCGCCAGUAUUCUGGCGGGCAUGCCUGUUCGAGCGUCAUUUCAACCCUCAAGCCCAGCUUGGUGUUGGGACUUGCGUUAAUUCGCAUUCCCCAAAUUGAUUGGCGGUCACGUCGAGCUUCCAUAGCGUAGUAAUUUACACAUCGUUACUGGUAAUCGUCGCGGCCACGCCGUUAAACCCCAACUUCUGAAUGUUGACCUCGGAUCAGGUAGGAAUACCCGAUGAACUAAGCAUAUCAAAUAGCGAGGAAA